CUUCUGUUAUCUUCCAGCUCUCCUCCGCUCAUACUAAUUCUUUCUUUUAUAGAGUUAUUGUUCUUCUUGUUGCAAACUGUGCCAUUUCCCAGCUGCAGUUUUAAGUCCAUCCAAUAGAUUCCACAGUCCUAUAAAGUGAAGCACUAAGAAGAAGCUUAAAGUAAAACCCAAACAGAUUUGAAUUUAAAAUGUCAUGUUACCACUAUGAUCUAGAAGAAGGAGCUGAUAACUCUCAGCUACAGGUUAUUUGGCUUUUCUACUGAUGACAGGGGGUCUGAUCCUGCAGUUAUAAGAGUAUAAAAGCUCUGUGAGAGUUGACUUUAGCACAUCCUUACCAUUGUUUGGGGGUUUGAUUGAGCUCUUUCACACACUGUUGGAAGAAAGAAAACCAGGAUCCUUUAGAAGACAGAACAGUCUCCAUGCCCUCAAAGCUUUGGCUAGAGCAUUCCCGGAUGGAUAUACGGAACGAAAUAUCACUAUCUGAAAAGGUAUGAGAAACUCUUUCUAGAUGACAGCUCUAGAACUUCAUGCCUUUAGCAACCAGUGUGCAGAUUCUUCACAAGGAAAGGAUAACUUCAGUAUUUCGCUGUACACAGACCCAUCACCCACACUCAAGUCCUUACAGGCACUAACAGAUUCAAAAUGCCAGUUUGCUAGUUUUAACUCUCCUCUUUCCUCUGGAUUUAUUUUACUUAUCAUUAAAUGUGUAUCUUACUGUGGCACUCCCACAAUUUACACUUCUGGAUGUCUGAGGCUAAGAAGUUGGGUUGCAAACUGAUCUGAGAAGAAAGUGUUAAAGAAGUUUUGGAUCAGAAGAAGUUCCUGCUGUACCCUGAGCAAAACAAGCCAUAGGUGAGCAGUUAUGAGAUGAAGAGAAACCAGUCUGAAGCAGAUGCCAUUGUCAUGGGCUUCACCAUUGGAAGAGUGGUUAAGGUUCAGGCUCGUAUUGCUGAAAAUAAGCCAUCUAAAACCUAAACAAGUCAGAGAUGUACUGACAGAAAUGCAGGGGCUGUGUCCAUGCAUUCCACUCUGAGCAGGCGCACACACACACCUCAAUAUCUGCAGUAAUGCUUGUAUUCUUCACUGGUUUUGGCUGUUCUCUCUUCUUUCGUUGCUUCUUCCUACCCCAUUCCAAACUGGGAAUCUGAACAACUAGGGAGGACCCACUGGGGGCUCACCAAUAAUAAUGAGAUUGAAUAAGAAAUGUUCUGGUUUACAUUCUGUUUCUGCUCUGAGCUCAUUAAGGCCCUUUUGUUCCAAACCUUAGUAUCAGGAUUUCCCUUUGGCCACAAAGCUGUCAGGUUCACUUACUGCUCAGUUAUAAAAAAUGCAAAUCAAAGCAAAUAGCAAAAUGUAGCUAAAUUCUGCCUUUAAAACACAUCCAAAUUGUAUUUUACUGGGAAACAAAAACAUAUGAAAGGUGAAUCGCUGUGAAAGAGCCAGCCAUUAAAAUAAUUCUCUGGGUAGCUUUGAUGCUCAUUUUCUUCAGUUGUAAGCAUUCAGUGAUCCAUCAGCUGCAGAUAAAUGUGCUGAAAGCUUUUGCUGAAAUUACGACAAGGAAUAGAAGAAUCAGAGACAUAAGACGUCCAUAGCGCCCUGUGUUGAUAUCGCUGGUUCCAAUCCCUGUCAUAUGAAAUAACUGAUUUCUCUGAGAUUUUAAGGUUUCAACCUAAUUUUAAAAGGAAUUAGAGGGCAAAUCCCACUUCACCACCAUUCCCACUAUCAAAAGCUUCCUUGAUUCCUCAAGAACCUGGCCAUCGCCUGAAAUGUUUGCUUAAAGGGAACCUUCUUUCAGGCUGCUGGGCAAGCUUAGAGGUAUCUGUUCUGCCUUCUGGUUUCCUGCAGCCCAGUGAACACUGCUUUGGGGGAUUCCUCUGACACUCAUUUCCACAAGGAACUGAAAUGGUUGCCUGUAUGUGACAUAUAAAGAAAGGAAUUACACAGUGAUAUUGUUUUCCUAUGUGGAGGCUAAUGCCUAAUUUAAGACUUACAACCUAAUACCUACAGAUCAACUCACUGCUAAUUCUUCCUUUGCCUGAGAUUUUUAUGCAGAAGAGCAAUGAAGAAUUGGAAUGGAUUUGCAAAUCCAGAAGGAAGGAGUAACAAUGCCCUGGUCACAUCAGGAGGGUGCUUUCUGCUCCUAAUCCCAUAUCUGUCAAUGCCUUCUCCUGGUUUACCUGCGCUGCCUGCUUUGCCUAAGAGGCAGCAGCAGUUCAUAUGAGCAACUGUAUUUCCUGCAGCCACAGCAGGUCCUGCUCCAGUCUAAUCAGGGAUGACCUUCAGCUUUCUGGCACAUGGACCUAACAUGGGCAAAGAUCAACUCUGCUGAUUUAAGCAAACCCUUCUGCUCCCAUUAGGGAAGAAGCAGUGUUUGUACUUGCUGAUUAUUGCACAUUUGUUGAGGCUUUGUGGAAACAAACUUA